rnacentral:rRNA from 1 species
UGGCUCAGAUUGAACGCUGGCGGCAUGCUUUACACAUGCAAGUCGAACGGCAGCGCGGGCUUCGGCCUGGCGGCGAGUGGCGAACGGGUGAGUAAUACAUCGGAACGUGCCCAGUAGUGGGGGAUAGCUCGGCGAAAGCCGGAUUAAUACCGCAUACGACCUGAGGGUGAAAGCGGGGGACUUUAGGGCCUCGCGCUAUUGGAGCGGCCGAUGGCAGAUUAGCUGGUUGGUGGGGUAAAGGCCUACCAAGGCGACGAUCUGUAGCUGGUCUGAGAGGACGACCAGCCACACUGGGACUGAGACACGGCCCAGACUCCUACGGGAGGCAGCAGUGGGGAAUUUUGGACAAUGGGCGCAAGCCUGAUCCAGCAAUGCCGCGUGUGUGAUGAAGGCCUUCGGGUUGUAAAGCACUUUUGGCGGGAACGAAAAGGACUGUGCCAAUACCACGGUUCGAUGACGGUACCCGCAGAAUAAGCACCGGCUAACUACGUGCCAGCAGCCGCGGUAAUACGUAGGGUGCGAGCGUUAAUCGGAAUUACUGGGCGUAAAGAGUGCGCAGGCGGUUUUGCAAGACCGAUGUGAAAUCCCCGGGCUUAACCUGGGAACUGCAUUGGUGACUGCAAGGCUAGAGUGUGUCAGAGGGAGGUGGAACUCCGCAUGUAGCAGUGAAAUGCGUAGAUAUGCGGAAGAACACCGAUGGCGAAAGGCAGCCUCCUGGGAUAACACUGACGCUCAUGCACGAAAGCGUGGGGAGCAAACAGGAUUAGAUACCCU